AUGUCAGUUAAUGGUACAAAACUUUGGAACAUCUUAAUAGAGAAUGUGGUUAACCUGUAACUUUCAAACUUUUCACUAUAUGUCAAAAGCAAAAGCUGCAAGAGCAAGAAACUAAAAAUUUGGAAAAAAAAUUACCCAAAGUAUCAGAUUGAUGGUCUUGCCAAGGCAAUUUGUACUCAGUUGGCCUCUAAUGUAGUUGAUAUGAAGUGUAGAAGCAAUUGCAUAAGCUUUUCUGUCUACAGAAGGAAAAGCUUUCCUUGGAUGGUUACCUCGUCUUGGAAGUCACCAAGGUGUAUUGUAUUUGUACCUAAAACAUGCUCACUAUGUGAUCUCUGUGUCUGGCUCAUUUACUAACACCGACAUGACACUACGCUUCCAAAAAGACCAGGAUAUUGCCAUUAAAAAAUAAUGCUUCAAUGCUUUAUUUUUUAAAACAGUUCAGUAUUGUUCUUACUACACUUUGAACACCUAACGGUUUUUCUUUUUAUUAUUUACACUAGAACAGUCCAGUCCAGUCUGGAUGUGAUUUUUGAGACAUAAUCUGUUUUAAAUAUGCACCAUGUAUAUGUAAUCUUCUGCUCACUCAAAAUUAGGUUCAGAUCUGGACUUUUCACCUUGCUUUUUUUAAUGCAAAGGGUUUAUUGCAGCUUUUUCACAACAGGAUUUAAUUCUUAUUUGGAGAAAUUGUUCAGAUCAGACCAUUGUGAAAAAUAUUACAAAAUGUUUAGAAAAUAAAUUUAAGCAAAACUCAUUAUCAAGUGAGAAAGACUAAAAUUUUGAGCAUCUGUUUCAUAUAUCUGCAAACAUUUUCCAAGUUGUCAGCAUAAAUAAAAUGAAAUAAAAACUUAACAUUUCUAUUAAUGAUUAAUUUUAUAUAUUUUAAUCUGGUUGCAAUGAUCUUUUUAACCUUUUUAUUGCUCUAUUGCAGCGACGUCAAACUCCAGUCCUGAAGGGCAGGUGUACUGCAGCGUAUAGAUGUGCCUCUCCUGCGCCACACCUGAAUAAAAUAAUUAGUUCAUUAAGGCUCUGUAGAACUUAUCUAUACAAGGAGGAGGUCAUUAAACCAUUUCAUUCCAGGGUUCUGUACAUGUGGCACAUCUAUACGCUGCAGGACAUGGAGGACAGGAGUUUGACACUUGUGCUCUUGGCACCUUUGCCAAUAAAGAUUGGUGAAUUGAAGUAGGCAUUUUACACAUCCACUAAAGAAAAUAGUUCCAAAGAACAUUUGAAUAAGGAGGACGACCGUAUUUAUUUAUUUUUGUUUGAGCACGUUUUUGAGUGUUACAUCGGUUUUACAUUUGUUAAACCGAUGUAACACUCAAAAUUAAUCUUGUGUUUCUUGGAAAACGUAAAAUUAACUGCGGAUGGAUAUGCGGUUUCACACUCCAACGUAUUCUCCUCAUCAGUCCGUUUGCGCGGAAUCUGCAGGUUGACUGUCCUACGAAACAAUCUACUUCAAGAGCAUCAACCUGUGAAGAUCGCCUUUGACGAUUUGAAAAAGGUUGCCAUGGUUACAGAAAUUGGAGGAGUGUCCAGCUGUGCGAGUCCUCAUGCCCCAUGAAUUGGCGGUCCAGUUCAGCCUUUUUGGACGACAUUGGAAACACAAGCUCCGUGACCCGCGUCUCUUUGAAGUUGUGUAUGGGACACUUAAAAGAAAUGGAUCCAUCUACAGAAUCACACAAAGAUAUGGAAAAGGCACUCUCAAAGUGGUUUACUGGAGCCUGUGACUGGUGGAAAUAGGAAAGUUAGAACAACUAGGGAGGCUGUCAGUUCAAACUCAGCGCAUUUUUUGUUGUGGCACCAUUUGCUGAGUGUUAAUGAAGUUCUAAUAAUUGCUGUAGUGAGGUAAAAAAUAACUUCUGACAAUAUUUCAAAUUACAAAAUAAAACGCCUUGACCAAAAUAAAUUUUUCAUCUCUUUUUUUUUCUAUUGCAAGUUUUAUGCUAACACAUUUUAGGACCUUUGUUUUGUUGAUCAAGAUUGCAUAUCUAAGAAUGUAAUUCACUUCCAGGUUAGGUGAGAAAGACCCCAUUGUUCCUACAAGGAUAAGGCAUCUGGGUCCCACUGAAAACCCAGUUAAAGCCCAUUAAAAUAUACCUGGGCAAACCCAUGUGGGGCCACCAUGGAGACCUUGGACAAACCCACUUGUUACCCAUAUUCUAGCCCAGAUCAGACCCAAUUGGGACCUAGGUAAAUAUUCCUCAAGGCACCUUCGUGGGUCAUACAUGGGUCUCAUGUAAGAUAACCAUCUGGGCCCCACUGAAAACCCAGUCAGAGCCCACUGAAAUCUACCUGGGCAAACCCAUGUGGGGCCACCGUGGAAACCUUGGACAAACCCACUUGUUACCCAUAUUCUAGCCCAGAUCAGACCCAAUUGGGACCUAGGUAAAUAUUCCUCAAGGCACCUUCGUGGGCCUCAUGUAAGAUAACCAUCUGGGCCCCACUGAAAACCCAGUCAGAGCCCAUUAAAAUCUACCUGGGCAAACCCAUGUGGGGCCACCAUGGAAACCGUGGACAAACCCACUUGUUACCCAUAUUCUAGCCCAGUUCAGACCCAAUUGGGACCCACAUAAAUAUACCUGAAAGCACCCAAGUGGGCCACAGGUGGGCCUCAUGUAAGAUAACCAUCUGGGCCCCACUAAAGACCCAAUCAGAGCCCAUUAAAAUCUACCUGGGCAAACCCAUGUGGGGCCACCAUGGAAACCGUGGACAA